AUGGCCCUCGCCGGCCCUCCCCGCCGUCUCCGCGUCGUACACGCCGUCUCCCAAUCCGCAGCCAGGGGACACGCCAGCGCGCUCCCGGUGGCCCUCGCCAACCCUCCCCGCAGUCUCCGCGUUGUACCCGCCGUCUCCCCAAUCCUCAACCAGGGAACACGUCAAGAAUCUUCAGUCACGCGGCCGCCGCGCCGGAGGUCUUCCAUCUCAGGGUGUUGUCAAGAAUUUCAUCACACCCACUACUUUCCCACCGAGAUUGUUGACACCCUGCCCUGUUACAUGUACAGUGGAAGACUUCUCUUUUUGAUUGACUCUGCAUCUAAAGAAGAGGGCGUGAGACUGCAGCAUGCUGUGUACAUAAGCAGGGAGUUGAGGGGCAGAACUGAAGGUUUGGGUGCACACUCCGCAGAUGAUGAUGGUUCAGCAGAGAUAGCAUUGCUCUGUGUUACAUAA
rnacentral:rRNA from 1 species